CAACAACUGGAAAGCAUAAACAUUUCUUAUUCCUAGACAUAUGCAUGAACUUUGAUAAAAUUUGCAGUCAUGGAAUAUUAUAAUUUGAUGAUGCAUCAAUUAAUGUUUUGCAUUUUUGAUUGAGCUUAGAGUUUUGUAUUGAUUGAUGAAAUUCCUGAUGUUGUUGUGGAGAUAUUGCAGAUUAUUCUGUGAUGAUAUGUACCGUAUUCUACUGCACCAGUGCUAACCUCAUACCCCUCAAAUAACUCAAAUCUAGCUUUAUUCUCAUCCCAGCAUUCUGAAAGCAUGCACUUUAUACUAAAAAUUUCUUGACUUUCAAACAUAUAUCAUGCAAAAAUCAAACAAUGCCACAUCUUCUAUAUAAUAGCUUGAUUUGUGUAACACAUUUCUUUCUUACUCACAUUUCUAUAAAUAGUUCUUUGCCUAAAUGAUCUCCCUUGUAUAUUUGAAGCACAGAGACACCCAGUAGGUAGAAUACGGUAUGUAGGUCAGUUUGGGAUCCGGGUGUGAAUACCUUGCAUGCUUUGUUUGAGUUUUGUUGCAUUUGUUUGGUUCCGUUUUAGCAUAUUGACCAAAAAAGCACAAGUACCCAUAGCUCCAAUAUACAAUGCAACUGUUAUACGGUGCGAGUGAGUUCCCGCGUUAAUAGAGGGAGCUGCUGUCUGGUGCCAGAGUCGUCGGGCUCCUCGGGGGUAAGUAGGUCACCUCCCCCCUCUCUCUGUCCUCCACCACCCUCACUUCUACACUGGUAACUACUGUAACCUAUUCUUUGUAGCAACCAAUGGCGAAAGGAAAAAGUUUUUUAAAAAUGGAAACCAUUGAGGAAACCAAUUAGAUUGUAAAAAUAUGUCAUUUCUUUCUUUUAAAUCGUCAAACACUAUAUAAUUUUUAACAAGGUAUCAUAUUGCUAAAUGCUGCCUGCUUUGCAUGUGUUGGUGAAAUGGAUGUUUCCUGUAAUUAGGACAGUUAGUGCAGCAUGGUGUUACUAAUUGCCGGUGUGGUAGAAUUUGGUUACAAAGGGCAAAACAUGGAGAAUUUUCUACAAAAUUAAUACAAAGUUGUGUCGGAAAAUCCUUUUCUUUGUCCAUUUUUAAAUGAUAAAUGGACACAGGAUCCAAGCAAAGGAUUUGUGUUUGACAAUAACCAGAAAUAUUUAAAAUUUAAUUAAUUGUGUAUUUUGUCUUCUAAAGCUCAGGUUGCACAUGCACUAAACAGCUUAAUUUUCUUAACAAUUUUUGAAUGCACUGUUAUUCUGCAGUGUAACAUUUAAUAAUAAUAUUGAUGGGGUGUUUUGUUUUUUUAAAACUUUCUUAAGCAACUAUGCUUAGGUGUGCACUGCAAUAACAGCAAAUUCACUUAUUUGAAAUUGAUGGAUAUUUUGUUUAAAAUCUUAGGAAUUUGAAGAUUUCAAACUAAUUUCUUUUUUUCAAACAGGAUGAAGAUGUUAAGCGAGUGUUUUUACCUCCCCCUGCCUACCGCCCAUACACACCCAACAAACUUGACUCGCCUCAUCUCAGCACUCAUAAAGCAUACUUAUCAGACUCGCGCUCAUAUAUAGACGAUGAUAGGGAGACCGGCUGGCAAUACGAGGAUCCUUAUAGAAUUAAAGGACGAAAAGGAACGUUUGACCCAGCUUAUGACCAUGGAUCACAAACUGUCUUAGAUACAGAGAAUGACAGAUACUAUGAGGAGACCAGACCAAAGAGUAUAACUGACCUGUCGGAACGGUCCAGUCGACCUCCCAGUCGUAGCGUCAAUUACCGCACCACACCCCCUCCCCCACCCCCCGUCCGAUCAUCAAGCAAGGGUGCCGCCAUGAAUUACGUCAAUCAUACAGCUCCACCACUGCCAGACAGAAACUAUGACGCUGAGGAGGUUCAGCAGAACUACAAUCCUCGAUACACGCCGUCUCCAGGUUCCAUUGCAUCAUUUUCAAACAACCCCAAUGUGAUCACAAAUCCAAACUAUGAUGGACCUCCGAUGCAUGCGUCGCGGACAAACGUUGUCCCUGACGACAUGCGAGGACAUCUUGUGUGAUGAUUCAGAAUUCCAGUAUUAUGUGAUAGUGAGAGUGAUUACAAUGCAGCUAGGAUAACAUAGUGUUCCUUCAGACAACGGGGGUUCUCUCAAUAGAGGGUCCCUCACCAAAUAAAGACAGAGCACUGCAGUUCUGAGGAAGUUUUAGCACAAAAACUUGUCCUUCAAGUCUCUGACUUGUCAUACAAGUCUUGAACUUGUUUUAUAAGUCUCAAACUUUUCUUUACAAAAGAGUGUUUCCUUUUAAGGGAAAUGUGCAAUAAGGAAAAAAACUUUGGUUCCAUUUUUGUGAUAAUGGAAAAAGAACAUUCCUGACUUGUGAACGAGUCAUUUUCUGUGAGAUACAUGAAGUGGCUACUUUAAUGGACAGAGUAUGUGUAAGAGUCUGCUUUAUGAUGUUCUAGAUGUAUCGGCUACCUGUUCAACAUUUCUGUUUUGUUUGAUAAUGAAAAAAGUAUAUUUCAUUCAAAUAUAAAUAUGCAUAUCAGUUUAGUAUCAUAUUAGAUUUCAUCUUCAUAUUUAUUUUCCAAUUGUUUAUUAUGGUUGUGAGUGGCUGUCAUAGUGAAUGUGUAUGUGUUUGAUGUGAAACUGGUACAGAUAUUAGCCUUAUACUUUAUUCGCAGUAUUGCUGCAGAAUAAUUGUGAACCACUUGCCAAAGACAACAGAUUUGUUUGUAUGUAUAGAUUCUACAGAGAAGUAAAUACUUAUUAGCUUUCUGAUUGAGCAUGUUUUUUUUUUCAAAUUAUAUCACAGGCAUAAGAGAGUUAUCUGUUCCACAACGAACCCUGUGAAAUAUUGGGCAGGAUGUUGAUAUUUUUAUGAAUGAGAAAUACUCAUGUUCUUUUUUUUUUUUUUUUUUACAGUAGAUUUUUUAGUGCUGAUACAACAGUGGUAGUCCCGUAGGGACAUUUCCUUAUCACAAUGCCCUUUCAGUUCCAGUUUAAUAGUUUUCUUGCAUUUAUAAGAAUUUUAUGAUGAUUAUAAAAAUUAAUGAUCUUGUGAACAAGAAAAAAUGUCGCACAAUCAAAAAAUGCUGGAGAAGUACCGUAUGUGAACGAAUAAAUGUUUAUAAUG
rnacentral:misc_RNA from 1 species